rnacentral:lncRNA from 1 species
ACUUUAUUAUAAAUAAAAGUGCAUCAAGAACAUCAUUUAAACAUCAAUCAAAAAAUCUGAUUUUGACAUCGUUUGAACUGGAUCUAAUCCAUAUCACAAAAAUAACAUGAGAUUUGAUUGAAUCAAUCAAGGGUGGCUCUGAUACUACUAUUAGAUUUCAAUGAUGCAGUGGAAUAAAAAUUUUAAAAAUUUUUAUAUGCAUUCAAUAAUUUUAAAAAUUUUACAAAAAUCCUAGGAACCCCUUGAUGAUUACUAUCAAAUCACAAAAGUAUGUAUAAUGAGAGAAGAUCAGAAGUCAUAUACCAUCAUGAAGACCAUAAUCUAAUAAUUUUGAAACCUCCAUGAGACUCCAAAGUAAAAUCCCUCCAAUGGUGAUCCACACAAGAUUGAUCAGGGUCCUUCCCAAUUUGACAUGGUGCUGCAGUCUUCUUCCUAAGUGCGCUGUCGAUCAUCCUUCGCAAGAAUAGAUUAUACCACCAUUUGUAUAGCUUCAUGACCUCUACUGGGACCUCUUUAGAAAUCCUUAUUCAAA